CACACUGUCUUCCACAAUAUAUUUAUUUUUAAUGCAUUUUAUUUGCAAACGCUAACAACAUAUAUUUAUCUUGGCACUUGUACUCUUUUUCUAAAUUCAAUAAACAUACAGUUAUAUCUUUAAACAUAGAGAACAAACUUCGAUAGCUGCUUUAGAGCUAGAUAUAAAACAAAUAGGAGUCCUGCUCAUGUCUACAUGUUAUUGUCUACAUGUUAGUGUCUACAAAAUAGCAAUGGUUUUCUUUGAGGAGUAUAUGGAGAUCAGGUCUUUUCUGUUUCUCCUCAGUCAAGAAAGGGCUUCAGUCUUGUAUGUUUAUCAUUAACACCCAUUUGGCUGAUUCCUCAGGUGUUUAUUCCAAUGAAAGAAAAGCUUAUGUCAAGAUAAUACUAACUUAAUUGAGGCAAUAGUUGCUGCCUCAUAUUUGUAAGUCAAAUAUGACCUCCUAUUCCAACUGCUUACUUCAAUCCAUUCUAAAGAGAUGGCCAUUUCUAUCUAAGAAGGAUCCUAGUGAUCAGUCAGUCCAAUAAUCACUUAGAAUUUAACUUGCAAACUCCAACCCAUUUUAAGAAGACCAGUUUUAUACUUUUCAUAUCUCUUGAAAACUGAAUUCUUACAUAUAUUGUCAUGAACAAUUAUGUAAGUUGUAUUCUUACAUAAUUAUUUGGCAAAAUCAGUUUCUAAGAUAUUCAUUAGUAUGUGUUCAUGACUAUUUUUUCCCCUUCAAUUCGUAUUGAAAACUCAUUAUACAAUUAGAGUCCUACUAGGUACAGUGAGAUAUUUAGAAUUCUCAGAUGAGAGCCAGGUCUGUGGAGAGAUCACAAUAUACUUGAAAAGAUUAAAAUAUCUGGAUGGAAUAAACUUAUAGUUUGGGACAUGUUCAUACUAUGUUCUUUAGAAAUUUGGAGGAGAUGGGCAAAGGCUGAGAAUGUUGGCUAAGCCCUUGUGAAAGAGUUUGAAUUUGAGCUUGGACAGGAGGAGGAUGGCUGGGAUUUAGAUGGAUGAAGGGUCAAGAAGGAGAAUACUAAGUAAGAAGAACAAUAUGAUGAAAGGCUUUUGGUUAUAAGUAUGGUAUAUGUUGCACAACAUGAGACUAUUAGCUUGAUUUGUUUAGAAGGAAAUGGCCUUAGGUAGAUAGGAUUAGGUCAGAUGACAGAAGACUUUUAAAAAGUGUAGACAGAGUUAGAUUUUAUAUACCAAUUGAUUUGGAACCCCUCAAAAUUCUGUUUGCUUCCAGAAAGUUGGCAUGCUGCAAGUAGGUAUUCACCCAGCAGCAGUCUAAUAAGUCAAUUUUGAGGUAUAAGCUGAUGUUUGUAUCCACUUGACUCGUGGAUUCUAGGCUUAACAGCCUGAAAUAUUCCUUUUUAAAGUACCUCUCUUAUAUACAGCAGCCACUAACAUGGUUAAGAACUUCUUAUAUUCUGUGAAAAAGAUGUAGAAUCAUGAUAGGUUAGUACAAGCAAUAAUCACUGAGUAUUUGCAAAUCUAUCAGGAGGAAAACAAUAUUUUUUAUCUGAAUCUUUUCAAAAUUUAUCUCUGAAACUCCAAAAAGUCAUAUAGUUAUGCCAUCCUGUCAAUAAAGCAUACAAAACCUUGGCCAUAAUGUUUUUACAUCAUUACUACUGAUUGGACUUGCCUCAUAGACCUGAUGCAUUCUUUAUGAAUUAGCAUAAGCAAAAGUGAAAUAUCUCUCUGGAAGUUACGUCAGCAAAAUACAUUUGCUAUUUAAUAUGGUAAAUUUUAUGUCAGUUAGAAAGCAACUGGAUUAUCUUCUUUAUAAUAUAUUCUCAAUGUACUUCACUUUGCUUGUAGUGAUGAUAUAAAAAUAGUGUCUAUAGCAAACAUAUUCAUAUUUUCAAGUGGUAUUUCUAAGCCUUUGAUACAUGCAGUCAGUCAAUCCUUCUUUUAUAACUUGUAUACAAAUUCACAUUCAGCCUUCUUCAUGUGAUAUUUUCAUGGCUAGAAUUCUACCUCUCAUAAAUGGUGGUACCUUUCCCAAUGAGAUUCUGUUUUCUAUAGAAGAAUUACUUUCAAUAAGAAUUAUUUUUUAUUUAAUCAGAAGCCGAUAUAAUUUCAGAUUAAAUUCCCAAGGCAAAAUAGUUUAGUCAGCCCAGCUAAUAUUAGUAGGGUUAUUUUAAUCCCAUUGAAACUUUUCAGUGAUGUGAAGCAUUCAUUUCAUUUAGUGGCUAUCCCAUUGCUAUAGCUCAGUUUCAAAAGAAUUGCUUAAAUUAAUAGUAGGACCAUAGAGAGUUAGAAGCAGCAUUAGGCUUCAUUUCUUUUAGGGUUCUCUGACAGGUGGGGAGCACCACAAAAUGUUUGAUGUGCAUUUUAUUUAUUUCUGUUGAAGCAUGUAAGUAUUUUUAGGAUAGAUGUAAUGAUGUGACCAGUUUACCUCUGUCCUGAACACUUCCUGCUACAUUUACCUAGCUGUUUCACACCUUGGUGUCACCUUCUGGAAGUAUUUCUGUCUGUAUCUCUGUAUAGAUUUUCCUCCGUGUGUAAGUGAUUAAAAAAUUUUUGGGCUAAAAGUGGGUGAAAGAUCUCCAAAGUAAUUUCUGAAGUUUAAAAAUAUGGAGACUCUUCUUGGAUCAGAAAAUAACUAGGAUGGCAAUUUAACAUACUUUUCACUAAACUAGAUUUACUUGGUAUUUUCUGUGUGCAUAAUUCAUUGCCAUCCAUUGCCAAUUUAUAUAGAGAGAAAACUUCAGAAAGUGGAAUUUUAUUAACAUUGCACCUGUGAUCUAAAUUUAAGCAAGAUCUUGAGGAGGAUGCAAAAUGUUUGAAUGAAUCAUUUCUUUUUGUUAUUUAAAAAACGUUACUAUUUAUAAGACCUCAAUACUACCUGGAAUUUCUUUAAGUGAAAAAUUCUACUCACCUGUAAUCACACCUGGAUGUACUGGAUGGAAUGCUCUGAGGGAUUCCUGAGCUGCCUGGCACUUGUUUGGCUUGUGUGUUUGGACUUACGUCCAUUAAGAUGGGAUGCUUCUGAUACUUGAAAUGCCUUCAAAGAACUAAACCUUUUGCAGUGUGCCUAGGACUUGUUUAUCCUCUGAGCUUUAUUUUUGAGAAACUCUAAUUCAUUUUCAAGGAGAAGUGUCAAAGGAUUGGGUUUGUGUGUGUGAUUGUAGCUAGUUCACUCCAGAAGCACAGGCACGGACUAGCAGAGAGGAACAGAGAUGGCCUGAGCAACAGGAAAGACUAGUUUUCAGUCCUAGUCAUACAAUGUCUUCAGAAAAAUGGGCAUAGGAUUCUGCUCUCCACUAUUCAUUCUGACCACCAGAUACUGUUCUUACUUCCCACACCAGUAAAUCAUUUGAAUGCAAAAGAAAAAGAAAAAAAAAAUUGCUCCUAGUGCUAAGAAAAGUGAGAUGGCAAGAAGACAAUGAGGCGUUGGGAAAGACAUUGGUUCCAGAAAUUGGAUUCUAGGCAUGUAGUGCCAGAAUGGAGGACUUUUAUUUAAUUUUAUAGAAAAAUGUUCGGGUUAUUUUACACUGAGAUGUGAAAUCUCAUUUGCAGCUAAGCCCCGGAGGGAGUGAAAGGAACUAGGAGAGCUCAUAAAGACAAACGUAAUAGGAUUAAUAAGAAAAAGGCCGAAGACAUAAGCCUUUAUUGUAGGAACUCGGCGCUAAAUUUUAGCAUUGAUGAAGGGUGAAAUGUCGAUACUUAUCCAAACAGUUGUGCCUCAGGGUACAAAAACUAAAGGAUGAUGCCUUCAUAGACUCAUGCUCCUUGGGUAGGUUAUAUGCUCUUCUCAAAUAAGGAGCCACUCUGAUAGAACAAGGAGAAACCAUCACUGUGUGGCAGCAAUUCCUGAACCCUCAUUCACAUAAAUAAUUCUCAGAAUGUAUUUUAUAUUAUUAAAGCAAAGUUUAGGGUUGAACAAUAAUGCAAUGAAUUAAGGAUUGGAAAAUCAUUUGAUAAUCAAGGGCCUGAAUGUUAAAUUAUUUGUUUAUGUAUUUACACCUCGAAUAAUACCAAAUAGGCUUCUUAGAGAGUCAAUUCAUAUGAGAGUUCCAAGUCACUCAUGAACAUGAUUAGGAUAUAAGGUGGUAAUCAAAUUGCUCCAUAGUUGCUUCGUUUUUUUCUUUUAUAAAGGUUGAUUGCCACAAAAUAAUUUAGGCUAAAAAUGUGUCUGCUGAGGCCAUUUAAGUAACUGUAUCAAAGGAACAUCAUCGAGUUAUUUCAACUGCACACUGGUGCCUAUUGUCAGGGUAGAAUUUGCAGCACCUGUUUUGUAACUAGAUAAUGAUGUUGACUUUAGGCCAAAAGAAAAUGAAGCCCUUUGGGGGUAAUUUUAAUCCCCAAAGGGCUUCAUUCAUUUUUCUAAUUUAUGGUGCUGAACUGAUUGUUUUUCAGCAUUAUUUUCCUUAUAAGUGUAUUUUUAAAGUAUUGUUUUUAAUACAAUAUUAAUGCUAAUAAAUUGACAGAAGCAUAGCUAUCAGGCGAAAUAGUCUGAGCAUUGUAUACACGAUCAUCAUACAACCAUGGUUUAGAAAUGGUGCUGAAGAGUCCUCUCAUGCCCAACACUCUUGGUGCACUCAUUGACACUUUUAGGUUUCGUAUUUAUCAUAAUGGAUAUAUACUAUAAUUACAGAAAUAUAAACUAUAUGAGGAUAUAUAUAAAUUCUAGAACAUGGAAAUGUACACUUUGGUUUAAGGCAGCAACAUAUGUAGGAAGCUUUUUUAGUUUACAUAUUUUAUAUUUACAUAUUACAUAUUUUUUAAUUUACAUAUCUUUAAAUGUAAACAUUUAGAAGUUUGUUUUUGACAGUCUGAUAAAAAUAUCCAUUCCUCCCUAUGCAUAAGUAACACCAAUAUACUCUCCUCCUUUUAUGAGGUUAUCUUCAUGAGGUGGUAGGUUGGCCAAAUCUUUUCUCCCUGUUUAAUUCAACAAUGUAUUUCUGACCAAGAAACUUAUACAUAAAUAUAAUACCUUCUUUUAAUGUAUAACAGAUUUCUUCAAAUAGCAGUACCUGGUCCUGACAUAUCUAUUAACAAGAUAAUUUUGCAAAGAUGAUACAGAUUUUAAUUUAGUUAAUAGGAGUUCCUAUUUGUAAGUCUCCACGGUAUACAAUAGAGUUCCUUUUGAGAAAGGUGGGCACUUAGUCUUUUAAAUCAAUUUAAAGGAGUUUGUUUAAGAAGAUACUACCCUGAUGGGUCACGUUUCUCAAGUCUCUAUUUAUUGUGACUAUCACUGGGAUCAUGGCUAUUUUUGUUUUCAUCACCAUUAUCACGUCCCUGUCUUCACGUUGUAGAGCUCCUGAUUUAAAAUGUCCCUCAUGUACAUAACCAAAUAUAUUAGGACCAAAAUAUUCAGUUUGACUGUUUCUUGUGAAGCUGUUUGGCUUCACAUGCAGAUGCUGGAUCCAAUAUUUUGAGCAUCCACCAUGUGCUGGGUUCUAAAUGAAUCCCAGCCAAUGUGAAGUACUGAAUGUUCUAGCCUCAUCAUGUUAACACACGUCGCUUAUAGCCUUAAUUUUACAACUCUACUUACUGCCUUAUACUUCUUGAAGAUAUGAAAAUGAGAUAUGACCAAAAUUUGUCCAUUUUUAUUUGAGUGGGUCAUCAGUAGAGGCAUGCAAAUGACAAGGUCCUGUAAACACCAGCUACACUGGUGCCUGGGCUGCCUUAAUGAGCCAAUUGGAAUAACUACAUCCAAUUCAAAUGGGGACACAGGGAUGAGGGCUAGACUCUUGCCAAAUCAUGUUACUCCCAGCUAUCCAAUUUUGUUGCAUUUUUAUUUGUACUUCCCCUUCCACACUUGACACUGAUUACUCAGUGCAUUUCUCCUGGAAAUGCUUUUCCUCUGUCCCUUUAUGAGUAAAACAAAACAAAAAAAAUCCUUUGAUCUUUUCCUUUUCUCAAUACUUCAGGACUUGCAUUAACAGUUCUAGGGAGAGAAUGGCUCUUUUCUUAUUUGUGUAAAGGACUCAUUGAGAAAUGGAUGAUAGACCUGGUGACAAGCAAGAGAAAAUGCAAUUGGGUGCCUGAAGGAAGGAGGGAAUAUCUACCCUCAUCUAUCACCACUGAUUAGCUACAGUGUGAGAGAGGCAGAGACAGAGAGAGAGAGAGAGAGAUCAGAAAUAACAAAUGGAUUCUGGAGAGAGGCUCGGCUUCGCUGCCUGUUUUUUCUGGCUUAUCAAUCAUCUCCGGUGUGGCUGAUAGGUGGUUCUGUCACUCCUACCUCCAUCCCACCCACCAGAAAAUCUGUAACUGUGACAGGCAUUCCCCUGUCCAGUCCUUUCAGUAGCAAUAGUAGAUUCAGCUCCUGCACAAAAUGUCUGAGAAUCGGUGUCUUAUUGUCUGAUGUUUCUAUUCUGAUUUACCUUAGAAGCGUGUGUUAAUGUGAUUCCCAUCCAUUUGCUCAGGCUGUGGCCUUGCCAGUACCUCCUUGGGGUGGAUGUUGGCAGCAUGCUUGUCAUGUUUAUCGUGCAAGCACAGUGAUAGGCCGACAUUACAUAAAACAUUUAUAGGAGGUGGGGUAGGGGUUGGGAGGGUCCAUAAAACUGUUGAAGCCAUCCAAGUGUGAAAUGGAAAGAUGAAGAAAGUGUUUUCCUAAAGCCAUUUAUAUCUGUCAUCUGUUCUGAGUCUCACUUGUAAUGUGUCUCCUGUUCAGUCCCUUCCUCCCACCUUUGCUCCUUAAGCUUUAUCUUCCUCUGGGAAAACAUAUCUGGAGAGGCACAGUUGUAAAGAGAGUGGCAUCUUUGUAUACAACAAAAACUUUUGUAGCAAAGUGUUCUGUUGACAUUGUACACUCUCCAAGGAAUUUACUGGCUUGGCAUUCAUUUGAGCAUGAACAUGUGAGUGGUUACAAAAUCACAUGAUUUGUCUUUUGAAAUGUGUAUGAGAGAGAACAUGUGUGCUACCUGGCGAUGUUUGCUGUGAAAGAAAAUCACAGCACUUUAUACCACUCUGUAAGCACUGUUCAUUUUCUUCACCCUGAUCCUUGGUUCAGUUUCCAUUUUUCUCUAAAUUAUAGAGAACAGAAACCUUAAUCUCACAGAUUGAUACCAGUUCUCAAUCUGCACAGGCUAACUCUUGAGUGUUGAUUAGCUGUUUGUGUAUUUUGCAUUUGUCCUUACCGAAAAUUUUUCCUACUCAAGACUCGGAUGAGCUUCAGUGAAGAGGAAGGAGAGGUACUGACACUCUGUGCUUCUAUCAGUCAGACAGCGACUCAUAGGAUUUCCACUUAUUUUGUUUUGAUCCUUGCAGGACCAGUGUGAAUUGGGCAUCAUUAGUUUAUCUUAUACAUAUAGAAAAUGAAUCCUAGACACGAACUAAAGAGACUGCAAAUGGUCUCUUCCUAGUUUUACUACUGACUCUUCUGCUAUACAAUGAUGCCUUGAUUGUCUGCUAUUCCCUUGGGCUCCUCAAGCAUGAUGUGCCCAUAUUAAUGCUCAGCUAUCCCUUUGGAAGACACUCAAUGGCCCAUGUCUUUGAAUGCACCUUCAGGAACUUCAAAUUUAACCCUCAACCUCCUCUCAGCUCAAGUAAUUAAAAGAUAAGACUAUAAAACAGUAAGAAUACAGCUUAAAUGAGUAAACUAGAAUAUAUAGAGAGAGCUGAUUAUUAUAGAUUCUUAUGUCAUUAUUCUAAUAAUAUUAUUGCUCAUAUUAUGAAAAAUUUUGGGGGGAAUAUAAUUAUUUUAUGAAUCACAAAGAAAACUUAUUACUUUAAAAUCAUCCUUUAUUUUUCGAUCCAAAUAGUGUUACCCAAGUUGACCACUCUCGGUUUAUUCAAGACUUGAUUCAAAAAUCACAUUUUUCUCAUUGUAAGAACAUUCUGGAGAUGAAAGUUCAGGAGUUCUAGGGUAUAUAGCCUGGUUCAGCCAUUUACCAGUUGUGUAUUCUUGUAUCUUUUCGUUAAUAUCUCUGAUUCCCAGUUUUCUCAGCUGCAAAAUGGGGAUAGUGAUGUAUAGGGUUCUAUGAAAACUAAACUGUUGAACACCCAGACCACGUCCACCCUGCGAGCACAGAGCCUCACCCUCACCACUCUGCCGCCUGUCCACACCUACCAUCAGCUCACCAUGGAUGAGGAUAUGGCCGCACUCAUUGUGGACAACAGCUCCAGCAUGUGCAAGGCCAGAUUCAUGGGUGACGAUGCCCCCAGGCCAUCUUCCCCUCCAUCGUGGGGCACCCCAGGCACCAGGGCAUGAUUUGGGCCUGAGUCAGAGGGACUCCUAUGUGGGUGACAAGGCCCAGAGCAAGAUAGGGAUCCUGACCCCUGAAAUACCCCACUGAGCACGGCAUCAUCACCAACUGGGAUGACAUGGAGAAGAUCUGGUACCACACCUUCUACCACGAGCUGCAUGUGGCUCCCGAGGAGUACCCUGUGCUGCUGACCAAGGCCCUCCUGAACCCCAAGGCCAACUUAGAGAAGAUGACCCAGAUCAUGUUUGAGACCUUCAACACACUAGCCAUGUACAUGGUCAUCCUGGCUGUGCUAUCCCUGUGCACCUCUGGCCGUACCACUGGCAUCAUGAUGGACUCCAGUGAUGGGGUCACCCACACUGUGUCCAUCUACGAGGGGUAUGCCCUCCCCCACGCCAUCCUGCAUCUGGACUUCUGGCUGGGACCUGACUGAUUACCUCAUGAAGAUCCUCACCUAGCAUGGCUGCAGCUUCACCACCAUGGCAGAGUGGGAAAUCCUGUGUGACAUCAAGGAGAAGCUUUGCUACAUCACCCUGGACUUCGAGCAGGAAAUGGCCACAGCGGCCUCCAGCUCCUCCCUAGAGAAGAGCUAUGAUCUGCUGGAUGGCCAGGUCAUCACCACUGGCAAUGAGCAGUUCUGCUGCCCCAAGGCAUGCUUCCAGCCUUCCUUCCUGGGCAUGGAAUCCUGUGGCAUCCAUGAAACUACAUUCAACUCUAUCAUGAAGUGUGACAUGGACAUCCGCAAAGACCUGUUUAUCAACACAGUGCUGUCUGGUCGUACCACCAUUUACCCUGGCAUCGCUGACAGAGUAUAGAAGGAGAUCACCACCCUGGCAUGCAGCACGAUGAAGAUCAAGAUCAUUGCUCCUCCCAAGAGCAAGUACACCAUGUGGAUCGGCAGCUCCAUCCUGACAUCACUGUCCAUCUUCCAGCAGAUGUGGAUAAGGAAGCAGGAGUGCAACUAGUCUGGCCCCUCCAUCGUCCACUGCAAAUGCUUCUAGGUGGGCUGUGACUUAGCUGUGUUACACCCUUUCUUGACGAAACCUAACUUGUGCAGAAUACAAGAUGAGAUUGGCAUGGCUUUAUUUGUUUUUUGCUUUGUUUUGUUUUGUUUUGCUUUUUUGGCUUGACUCAGGAUUUUAAAAACUGAAAUGGUGAAGACGACAGUAGUCCGUUGGAGGGAGCAUCCCCCAAGGUUCUACAAUGUGGCCUAGGACUUUGAUUGGACAUUAUUCUUUUUUUAAUAGUCAUUCCAAAUAUCGUGAGAUACGUUAUUACAGGAAGUCCCUUGCCCUCCCAAAAGCCAACCCCACUUCUCUCUAAGGAGAAUAACCCAGUACUCUCCCACGUCCAUACAGGGGAGGUAAUAGCAUUGCUUUCAUGUAAAUUAUGUAAUGCAAAUUUUUUUUAAUUUUUGCCUUAAUACUUUUUUAUUUUGAAAGAUAUUAGCCUUUGUGGCUGCCCCAUUUUUGUCCCUCAACUUGAGAUGUAUGAAGGCUUUUGGUCUCCCUGGGAGUGGUGGAGGCAGCCAGCACUUACCUGUACACUGAUUUGAGACCAGUUGAAUAAAAAUGCACAC